rnacentral:sRNA from 1 species
AGCUGCCAGCACCUCAUGCCCACCUCGCCGAUGCGGCCCAUUUGCCUCGGUGGAGGCACCGACGACGAAGUCCACGUCAUCCAUGAGGUCUGGGUUGCCUCCCUUGCCGAUGCCGGCGAUCUUCCCGUCGCGGAUACCCACGUCGGCCUUGUAGAUGCCGGUGUAGUCGAUGAUGACCGCACCGGAGAUGAUCAUGUCUACGACCUGGGGGUUCUCCGAACGAAGCUCCGUUGCCGAGACACCCAUCCCGUCGC